CCUACGGGUGGCAGCAGUGAGGAAUAUUGGUCAAUGGACGCAAGUCUGAACCAGCCAUGCCGCGUGAGGGAAGACGGUCCUAUGGAUUGUAAACCUCUUUUGUCGGGGAGCAAAAGACGCCACGCGUGGCGUUCCGAGAGUACCCGAAGAAAAAGCAUCGGCUAAGUCCGUGCCAGCAGCCGCGGUAAUACGGAGGAUGCGAGCGUUAUCCGGCUUUAUUGGGUUUAAAGGGUGGGCAGGAGGAAGAUCGAGUCUUCGGUGAAAGUGAGAGGCUCAACCUCUUCGAGCCGUUGAAACUGGUUUUCUUGAGUGAGUGAGAAGUAUGCGGAAUGCGUGGUGUAGCGGUGAAAUGCAUAGAUAUCACGCAGAACUCCGAUUGCGAAGGCAGCAUACCGGCGCUCAACUGACGCUCAUGCACGAAAGUGUGGGUAUCGAACAGGAUUAGAUACCCCAGUAGUC
rnacentral:rRNA from 1 species